AAAUGCUAACUCUCAAAUUCACAGAGCUGCAAGGGAACAUGGAAAACCAAAACAAUCAAGAAGAAAAAGGUCGGAACACAUACUUUCUGAUUUCAAAACUUACUACAACGCUACAGUAAUCAAAAUAGUAUGCUACUGAAAAAAGGAUAGACAUAUAUAUAGAUCAACAGCAUAAAACUGAGAGUACCAGAAUAAUCUGAUACAUCUACGGCUAACUGAUUUUUUAUAAUGGUGCCGAGUCCAUUUACUGGAGAAGUAAGGGUCUGCUCAACACAUGGUGCUGGGACAACUGGAUUUCCACAUGCAAAAGAAUGAUGCUGGACUCCAAACUCAUACCAAAUACAAAAAUUAACUGAAAAUGUAUCAAUGACCUAAAUUUAAGAACUAAAACCAUAAACCUCUUAGAAAAAAACACAAGGGCAAAUCCUCAUGACCUUGGAUUUAGCAAUCAAUUCUUAAGAUCAGACACAAAAAGCAUAAGACAAUGAAAGAAAAAAAGAGAUAAAUCUGACUUCAUCAAAAUUAAAAACUUUUGUUCAUCAGAGGACAUUAUCAAGAAACUAAAAAGAUAAACUUUAAGCAAACCAACUAGGAUGGGAUUAAAAAAAAAAAAAAGAAAAUAGUAAGCAUGGGCAAGGAGGUAGAGAAACUGACCUUUGUACCUUGCUGGUAGGAAUGUAAAAUAUUGCAGCUUCUGUGAAAAACAAUAUGGCAGUUCCUCAAGAAGCUAACCACAGCUAAUUACCAAAUAAUCCAGCUAUUUCAUUUCAAGGAACAUACCCAAAAGAACUGCAAAUAGGGUAAUUGUAUGCCAAUAUUCACUUCAGUAUCCAGUUUAGCCAAAAGGUGCAAGUGUCCACCUGAAUAAAUACAAAAUUACUGAGUGUUAAAAGGGAAUGAAAUUCUAGUACAUACUGCAACACAGAUGAACCCUGAAAAUAUUACGCUAAAUGAAAGGAGUCAGACACAAAAAUACAAAUAUUUUAUCAUUCCACUCAAACGAAAUAUCUAGAAUAGGUAAACUGAUGGAGACAGAAAGUAGAUUAGAAGUUACUAGGGACUGGGAGAGAACAGAUGGUAGUAAUGGUUGCACAACAUUGCACAACAAAGGCACUCAAUUACAAAUUUAAAGUGGUCAAAAUGGCAAAUUUAAUGUUAUGCAAAUAUAUUUUACCACAAUAAAAAAAGUCAAAGAAAAAAUUAUAUGUUCCAUAGAAAUCAGCCCUACCAAGGCUCUUAAACAAAACACCUGUGAAUUAUCACUAAGUGCAUUCCAUUACAAAUUACUGAGCCAUACAUAGAAAAUAAUUGUUCCAGGAAUUUAAAAAGAAUAACUGGCCAGGCACGGUGGCUCACGCCUGUAAUCCCAGCACUUUGGGAGGCAGAGGCAGGUGGAUCAUGAGGUCAGGAGAUCUAGACCAUCCUGGCCAUGGUGAAAUCCCAUCUCUACUAAAAUACAAAAAAAAAAAUUAGUCAGGCAUGGUGGCACACGCCUGUAGUCCCCAGCUACUCAAGAGGGAGAAUCGCUUGAAUCUGGGAGACAGAGGUUGCAGUGAGCCGAGAUUGUGCCACUGUACCCCAGCCUGGCGAAAGAGCAAGACUUCGUCUCAAAAAAAAAAAACAACAACUGAGGACCAACCUUCAGCAGGGCUAUGGCUACCAUCUUCUCUCUCGCAGGCAUCUCAGGGCUGCCAGCCUGGACCUUGCAGCCAGUGGAUUCAAGUUUGAAAUAUGGCAACUUUGAAAGAUAUUACUGGGCAACUAAAGUCCAUCAAAAACAUCCAGAAAAUUACCAAGUCUAUGAAAACGGUAGCAGCAGCAAAAUAUGCCCGAGCUGAGAGAGAGAGAGCUGAAACCAGCUCGAAUAUAUGGAUUAGGAUCUUUGGCUCUGUAUGAAAAAGCUGAUAUCGAGAUGCCUGAACACAAAAAGCAAUACCUCCUUAUUGGUGUGUCCUCAGAUCAAGGACUGUGUGAUGCUAUUCAUUCCUCCAUUGUUAAAUAGAUGAAAAGUGAGGUUGCUACACUAACAGCAGCUGGGAAAGAAGUUAUGCUUGUUGGAAUUGGUGACAAAAUCAGAGGCAUACUUUAUAGGACUCAUUCUGACCAGUUUCUAGUGGCAUUUAAAGAAGUGGGAAGAAAGUCUCCUACUAUUGGAGAUGGCAUCAGUCAUUGCCCUUGAAUUACUAAAUUCUGGAUAUGAAUUUGAUGAAGCCUCCAUCAUCUUAAUCGAUUCAGGUCUGUCAUCUCCUAUAAGCCAGAAGAAAAGCCCAUCUUUUCCCUUAAUACCAUUGUAAGUGCUGAGAGCAUGAGCAUCUACAAUGAUAUCGAUGCUGAUGUGCUGCAAAAUUACCAAGAAUACAAUCUGGCAAACAUCAUCUCCUACUCUCUGAAGGAGUCCACCAGUAGUGAGCAGAGUGCCAGGAUGACAGCCAUGGACAAUGCCAGCAAGAAGGUUUCGAGAUGACUGACAAAUUGACAUUGACAUUCAACCAUACCCACCAGGCUGUCAUCACAAAAGAGUUGCUUGAAACUAUCUCUGGUGCUAUAGCUCUGGAUUAACGAAAAUCGAGUUCCUUCCUCAGACAAGAGGUAAAGAAGGAAAAUUCAGCCAGCUGAUUUUGUUUUUAGCUUACUGCUGUCUUUGUCUGAAGAAUCUGUUCCUCCAUUGUUUGAAUUACUGAAGACAGCAGGAUAUUUGUAAAUUAUCUUGCAAUAAACAACUUAAAAUAAGAAAAAAAUAAAAAUAAUUGAAAUUUAAGUUAGCUUACUACAAAAAGUUUGUAUCAAUUAAAAACACCUUGUGUUUUGUCAA